rnacentral:sRNA from 1 species
CUAAGAGAACGCCUCUGUCGUUACCCAACUAGUUUGGAUACGAGAAUGCGUUUGUUGA